rnacentral:rRNA from 1 species
AAUAUUGGACAAGGGGGGGAACCCUGAUCCAGUCAUGCCGCGUGUGUGCAGAAGGCCUUUUGGUUGUAAAGCACUUUAAGCGGGGAGGAGGCUACUUAGAUUAAUACUCUCGGAUAGUGGCCGAUACUCGCAGUAUAAGCACCGGCUAACCCUGUGCCAGCAGCCGCGGUAAUACAGAGGGUGCAAGCGUUAAUCGGAUUUACUGGGCGUAAAGCGCGCGUAGGUAGCCAAUCAAGUCAAAUGUGAAAUCCCCGAGCUUAACUUGGGAAUUGCAUUCGAUACUGGUUGGCUAGAGUAUGGGAGAGGAUGGUAGAAUUCCAGGUGUAGCGGUGAAAUGCGUAGAGAUCUGGAGGAAUACCGAUGGCGAAGGCAGCCAUCUGGCCUAAUACUGACACUGAGGUGCGAAAGCAUGGGGAGCAAACAG